rnacentral:rRNA from 1 species
AACGAACGCUGGCGGCAUGCCUAACACAUGCAAGUCGAACGAGACCUUCGGGUCUAGUGGCGCACGGGUGCGUAACGCGUGGGAACCUGCCCUUAGGUUCGGAAUAACUCCCCGAAAGGGGUGCUAAUACCGGAUAAUGUCUUCGGACCAAAGAUUUAUCGCCUUUGGAUGGGCCCGCGUUGGAUUAGCUAGUUGGUAGGGUAAAAGCCUACCAAGGCGACGAUCCAUAGCUGGUCUGAGAGGAUGAUCAGCCACACUGGGACUGAGACACGGCCCAGACUCCUACGAGAGGCAGCAGUUGGGAAUAUUGGACAAUGGGCGAAAGCCUGAUCCAGCAAUGCCGCGUGAGUGAUGAAGGCCUUAGGGUGGUAAAGCUCUUUUACCCGUGAUGAUAAUGACAGUACCGGGAGAAUAAGCCCCGGCUAACUCCGUG